rnacentral:rRNA from 1 species
UGGGGAAUCUUGGACAAUGGGGGCAACCCUGAUCCAGCAAUGCCGCGUGUGGGAUGAAGGCCUUCGGGUUGUAAACCACUUUUGGCGGGGGCGAAAUAUCGAGUGCUAAUACCAUUCGGUGAUGACGGUACCCGCAGAAUAAGCACCGGCUAACUACGUGCCAGCAGCCGCGGUAAUACGUAGGGUGCAAGCGUUAAUCGGAAUUACUGGGCGUAAAGCGUGCGCAGGCGGUUAGGUAAGACAGGUGUGAAAUUCCCGGGCUCAACCUGGGAACUGCAUUUGUGACUGCCUGACUAGAGUGCGGCAGAGGGGAGUGGAAUUCCGCGUGUAGCAGUGAAAUGCGUAGAUAUGCGGAGGAACACCGAUGGCGAAGGCAACUCCCUGGGCCUGCACUGACGCUCAUGCACGAAAAGCGUGGGGAGC